CCAUCCACCAGUGACACCUAGCAGCAUGUAGUGGCCACUUAGCAGAAUGGAAUGAUGAACCUCUAGGUGCAGUUAUCGUAUGAUACAGUCCUACUAUCGUGGAUCCCUAUAGGACGGAGGUCAUGGACAACUCGUCAAACCCCAUCGUCUAUCAUAUAUCAAGAUUUAUUCGACUUAAGUUCGAGAGUGGAAAACUCUUUCUCCACUAUGCAUACUGCACCGGCCGAGGUCUUACGAACUCAGUCUUAUAAAUCA
rnacentral:lncRNA from 1 species